rnacentral:rRNA from 1 species
GAUGAACGCUGGCGGCGUGCUUAACACAUGCAAGUCGAGCGAAGCACUUAAGUUUGAUUCUUCGGAUGAAGACUUUUGUGACUGAGCGGCGGACGGGUGAGUAACGCGUGGGUAACCUGCCUCAUACAGGGGGAUAACAGUUAGAAAUGACUGCUAAUACCGCAUAAGACCACGGUACCGCAUGGUACAGUGGUAAAAACUCCGGUGGUAUGAGAUGGACCCGCGUCUGAUUAGGUAGUUGGUGGGGUAACGGCCUACCAAGCCGACGAUCAGUAGCCGACCUGAGAGGGUGACCGGCCACAUUGGGACUGAGACACGGCCCAGACUCCUACGGGAGGCAGCAGUGGGGAAUAUUGCACAAUGGAGGAAACUCUGAUGCAGCGACGCCGCGUGAAGGAUGAAGUAUUUCGGUAUGUAAACUUCUAUCAGCAGGGAAGAAAAUGACGGUACCUGACUAAGAAGCCCCGGCUAACUACGUGCCAGCAGCCGCGGUAAUACGUAGGGGGCAAGCGUUAUCCGGAUUUACUGGGUGUAAAGGGAGCGUAGACGGCACGGCAAGCCAGAUGUGAAAGCCCGGGGCUCAACCCCGGGACUGCAUUUGGAACUGCUGAGCUAGAGUGUCGGAGAGGCAAGUGGAAUUCCUAGUGUAGCGGUGAAAUGCGUAGAUAUUAGGAGGAACACCAGUGGCGAAGGCGGCUUGCUGGACGAUGACUGACGUUGAGGCUCGAAAGCGUGGGGAGCAAACAAGAUUAGAUACCCUGGUAGUCCACGCCGUAAA